UACGUAGGGGGCAAGCGUUAUCCGGAUUUACUGGGUGUAAAGGGAGCGUAGACGGCCAGACAAGUCUGAAGUGAAAAUCCAGCGCUUAACGUUGGAAGUGCUUUGGAAACUGCCGGGCUAGAGUGCAGGAGGGGCAGGCGGAAUUCCUAGUGUAGCGGUGAAAUGCGUAGAUAUUAGGAGGAACGCCAGUGGCGAAGGCGGCCUGCUGGACUGCAACUGACGUUGAGGCUCGAAGGCGUGGGGAGCAAACAGG
rnacentral:rRNA from 1 species